rnacentral:SRP_RNA from 1 species
CCGUGCUAGAUGGGGAGCUAGCGGUUCUCUGUGACCUGCAACCCGCUAUAGCAGGAUCGAUCGCUUUUUAGAGGGCUCACGGACUAUUAGCAUUAUCCUUGCAAGUGGUGUUGACGGCUGGAUCUCAUGCAAUAAGAGAUUAUGUGAAACUGGUCAGGUGUGGAAGCAAGCAGCCAUAAGCAUAUAUCCUUAUGUGCCGUGAGUUAGUCUGGCUUGAGCUUACUGCAUGGAUAAACUAAUAGAAAGGGGAACGAAAAAAGUGCACGG